UCUUCUCCACGUGACCUAUAUUGCUGUACCUAACUAAUACUAUUAAUAGAUACUAUUAAAAUGGUAGGAUAAUAAAACAUAUAAGUAUGUACAACCACAUUUAAUAAAAAAAUACCUAUAAACCCUAUAUACAAUUUUAUACACUAGCUAAAUAUCCGACGUACUAUGGUAGUACACUCCUGUCGAUAAUGUAGGUUUUACAGUAUGAGAAAAACUAAUAUAUGUAAUGAAUUUAUUCUACUAAGGAAGUGAUUUGAUCUAAAUAUGCAUGUACAAACUAAUUAUUACUGUAGAAUACAAGAUUGGCUGACAAUCCCGUAUCUGAUCGGAAGUGACAACCUGACAAUAUCUGGUGAAUGGAAUAAAUAUUAUUGAGUAGGAAAUAAACCCUUCGAUAGUGUGCACAGUAUCGUCCCAGAUAGUUUAUAAUCCUGAGAUUAUUUUAAAUACCUGAUACAAUCAUGAAAAUGAAAUAUAAAAUUUGUUGACAAAAAAAAUUAUUGAAUAUUAUAAAGCUAAUAGGUUUUAAGAAGGUGAAUUUAUAUUAUUAUUAAGGUUAUGUAUUUGAGUUAUUGAAAAAAAAUUGAAAAUUGAAAACUAUUAUUUAAAAGGAUUGAAAAUUCAAAUUUUAUUAUAAAAACCUGGCGUUUCUACAAAAGUAGGCCUGUGGCUUCUCCAAAAUCCUGGUGAGGUUGAUGAUGGGAGAGCCAGGUAGGUAUCCUCCGAUCUUCCCAAUCCUCUGGAGGUAAGGAACAAAAAACAUCCAAAACUCUUCCAAUCCAAACCCAAAAUAACCCCAAAAUGAUUGCUUAUUCCAUAAAUAACUGAAGUAUCCAAAUGUGACUUAAAUUUUGUUAUAGUCUCCCUCCAGUGGCUAAAAGAACAGAAAACCUUCUAUUAGCUGGUUUUCCUUAAGUAUCUAAGAAACAGGGCCUCUAUAAAAAGGUGUUUCACCUUAUCAGAACUUGACAGAGAAAAAAAUCUAAGGAAAAAGUGAGGUUUGAUGUACAUGCUUUCAUUGACCUUGAUUAUUCUUGACUGGAAAAAGCCUUUUUAAACGAAUAUAAGGAAGUAUUUGGACAAAAAAAUGUGGAUCUUGUAAUCAAAGAUUAUAUGGAGUUAUCUAAAUAUGGUAUUAAAAAUGAUUUAGAUGGUUAUUUUUUCCUUGGCAUGAAAAAGAAAUGGCAAACUAUAGUUAAGUGAUAUUUUUUUCAUACAUACCCUUUGUUUUUUCAAAAAAUAUUGAAACAAAAAACUCUUCACAACCCCAAACAAAAAAUAAAAACUUCCUCCAACGUAAAUUAAUCUUCUUAUAACUUAUUUCAACCAAAA
rnacentral:lncRNA from 1 species